CGGAAUAUAGCGCAGUUUGGUAGCGUGCCAUCUUGGGGUGAUGGAGGUCGUGGGUUCAAAUCCCGCUAUUCCGA
rnacentral:tRNA from 5 species